rnacentral:rRNA from 1 species
GACGAACGCUGGCGGCGUGCCUAAUACAUGCAAGUUGAGCGCUGAAGGUUGGUACUUGUACCAACUGGAUGAGCAGCGAACGGGUGAGUAACGCGUGGGGAAUCUGCCUUUGAGCGGGGGACAACAUUUGGAAACGAAUGCUAAUACCGCAUAAAAACUUUAAACACAAGUUUUAAGUUUGAAAGAUGCAAUUGCAUCACUCAAAGAUGAUCCCGCGUUGUAUUAGCUAGUUGGUGAGGUAAAGGCUCACCAAGGCGAUGAUACAUAGCCGACCUGAGAGGGUGAUCGGCCACAUUGGGACUGAGACACGGCCCAAACUCCUACGGGAGGCAGCAGUAGGGAAUCUUCGGCAAUGGACGAAAGUCUGACCGAGCAACGCCGCGUGAGUGAAGAAGGUUUUCGGAUCGUAAAACUCGGUUGGUAGAGAAGAACGUUGGUGAGGGUGGAAAGCUCAUCAAGUGACGGUAACUACCCAGAAAGGGACGGCUAACUACGUG